CCAAUAGCGUAUAUUAAAGUUGUUGCAGUUAAAAAGCUCGUAGUUGAAUUUCGGGAUCAGUAGGUUGGUCGUGCCACUGGUAUGUACUGGCCUCACUGGUUCCUCCUUCUUGUAGAACCGUAAUGCCAUUAAGUUGGUGUUGCGGGGAAACAGGACUGUUACUUUGAAAAAAUUAGAGUGUUUAAAGCAGGCUAACGCUUGAAUACAUUAGCAUGGAAUAAUGAAAUAGGACGAUCGAUCCUAUUUUGUUGGUUUCUAGGAUUGACGUAAUGAUUAAUAGGGAUAGUUGGGGGCAUUAGUAUUCAAUUGUCAGAGGUGAAAUUCUUGGAUUUAUUGAAGACUGACUACUGCGAAAGCAUUUGCCAGGGAUGUUUUCAUUAAUCAAGAACGAAAGUUAGGGGAUCGAAGACGAUCAGAUACCGUCGUAGUCUUAACCAUAAACUAUGCCGACUAGGGAUCGGAUGAUGUUAAUUUUUUAAUGACUCAUUCGGCGCCUUACG
rnacentral:rRNA from 1 species